AAUUUUAAUUUGAAAAUUAUUUAAAUGUGAAUAUAAUGUUUUCACAGUUUAAGGAAACAUUUAUAAGGAUAACCAGUGGGUUGACUUUAUUGGCUGAGGUUUGUUUUUACCAGUUUUUGUAAAUUUAUUGCUGUCAAUAUAAACUGGUUUUGUGUUUAUUAAAAUUUUAUAACAGUUAACUUGUUUCUGGUUGUUAAAUCAAUUGCUGUUUAACUAUUGAAUCGAAAUGUGUUAGACAUUUGUUUUAGUUAAUUAACUAGUCGAUAAAGCAUUUCAGGUUAUAUACAUUAUUGAAAAGGUUUUUUGGUUUAUUGGAGAAAGAUUUCCUUUUCAAUUGACUCUACUUGUGAUGAAUGUAAAUUUGUAUUGAUUGGCAAAAUGAUAUGUAAAUUUGUAAAUUAAAAUUCAAUUUAAUCAUUUGAAAAGAAGACUUGAAUAUCAGCUGAUUAAUUGGAGUCAAGUUAACCAGAUUUUUUGACCAGAAAAGGUUAAGAGUAAACGGAGUCGCCAUCUUUGACUAGUAAUGUUGACAAAACAAGUCAUGGUCUUUGUUUAACUUGAACCUCUAUUUUAAUUUCAUUUUUAAUUAUAAUUUAAAUUAAUUUUCACUCUUCUUAACUUUAACCAUUAACCAUUGGACUAUAACUUGCUUCAAAAUGAUUAAAUAACCGGCAAUCCAUGAAUCUCAUGUGUAUUUGUUUACUUCUGUUUCUUUACUGCUUUCAUCAUCAAUGUUAUACUCCUGUCAAACCUAUUUAGAUUAUAAAUCAACCAUUGAACCAUUUAUAAUUUCUAUUGAUUAAUGUGUCAAAUGGUUCAUUUAAAGUAUUAUAAUUAAUUGUAAUUAUAAUUGUAAUGGAUAAUAUGACACUUGACUUGGAAAGGCGAGACUAACUAAAGGAUAUCAAUGAUGAAAACCGGUUACAUUCAUUUAAUGAUCACUGGUUACUUGAAACACAAGCCAUUGUAAUUCAAGAACGAAAUGUAAACAAACUGUACAUCUAAUUGAUUAUCAAAAGGUGUUGGAGGCCCUAAAUGAUUUGAUCUUGAAAUGGAUGGUUAUUAAAGUGUGAUGACAACUUACCACAAGCCCAUAUGUCAACAGGUUUACUAUAAGGUUCUUUACGAAGUACUUCGGGUGAUAGAUAACCAGGUGUUCCGGCAAAACCAAACCAUGCUGAACGAUCACCACUGACUUCAAUGGCAAGACCAAAAUCAGCUAAUUUAACGGCAGCACCUUUUUGUUUGCUAGCAAGUAAAAGGUUUUCUGGUUUCAGAUCUCUAUGUACAACAUUAUUCAUGUGACAAUGAUUAACUGAUUCCAAAAUUUGUUGAAUACAGUGGGAGGCAUCAGCUUCUGAAUAGUAUUCACGAGCUACUAUAUCUUCAAACAAUUCACCACCAGUUACCAAGUCGAAAAUUAAGUAAUGAUAACCUUCCUCUUGAAUACUGUCAUGAAGUCGGACUAAUGAGCGAGAAAGAAAAAAGCAAAGAAACAAGAAAAGGAGUUAAUUUAUCAUUUAUACAAAACAACAAUUAAUAUUGAAAGCGAAAGGUUUCACUGGUUAUUACAAUAGUAGCUGUUCAGUUUAUCAUAAUCAGCUACUCUCAGUGUAAUCAUGAUUUGUAUUGCUCUCAACAAACUCCAACAACAGCCUUUUUCUCUAUAAUUAUCAUUCCCAUUAUCAUCACCAUCGCCAUCAUCAUCAUCAUCAUCAACAGCAACAACAGCAGCAAAUCUCUCAAUCUUCCAACUGUUUCUUUGGAUUUUAUUCAGCCUUUCAUUACUAUCAACUACUCUUUACUUGUUCAAACUAAAUACAAUUUUCCUUUCUUCAAUUUACUUCUCUUUAUUACAUUGAAUAUUCCAUUUGAAGAUAAAAUGUCAACAGAAAAGGGAAAAGCUGUGCGUACCAAAUGGCUCGUUCUUAUUGCUUACCUAUGUUAGGAUGAUUUAAUUUUCUACAGAUUCGAGCUUCUCUUUCAAGCUUUUGAAAAUCUAUUACCAAGUUAGAUUGAAGUUUUCAUUUUAGCCACCAAAUUGAAAUUGUGAAUCCAGUCAAGUGUCCAAGGAGAAGAAGAAAUAGAGGCAAAAAUUGAAGUUUACAGCGUCAAAAUUGAAUGCAACUUUUACCUCGUGCUGAUAAUUUUUUGGUGUUAAUUAUUUUAGCCGCAAAUUCAAGUCCAGUUGAUCUUUGAACGCAUCUUCGGACAAUUGAGAAGGCGCCCCUGGAAGGAGAAAGGAUAAGAAUGAGAAAUGAUAAGAAAAGAGUAAAAGAUUAAAUUUGAACUUUACAAUGGUUGGAAGACAUUGAAACCGGAAAGCAAAUAUAAUCCAUAUGAAGCCAAGGCUAAAGGGAAAAUGCAACAUGAAGACAAUUAUUUAAAAAAAAAUGGUUCCAUUGUUUUUACAGAGAGAAACAUGGAGAUGGAAGGAACAAAAAGGGAUGAAGAUGAAGGAUGAUGAGCAUUUUAAUAAUGAAUCAUGAAGGAAGAGAAGACAAGAGCAAGUUUGGAUGAUAAAAAGAGAAGAGAAGAGAAAGGGAAAAGCUUAAGUAGGGUAAAGAAAUAAAAGAGAAACAAGUUCAAUACUAAUCUACAUCAAAAGAAAACCCAAAGUUAUCAUCAACAUGCUCCAGUUGUGUAUCUCAAAAUUCUGGUUAAAUAUUAAAAUCUCUAAGUCUUUCUCUUUCUACAUGAUUUUUUUCUUCUAUCUCCUUCUCUCUCUCUCCCUCUUUGUCAUCAUGAAUCAUCUCUAGGAGUCAAACUUGUGAGAUAGAAGGCGGAAAAUCCCAAUUCAAACCCAAAAUUGAUUGAGUUUCUUCUCUCUUCUCUAUUUAGGUUCACUUGAAUCAGGAAUUUGCGUGACCCUGUUUUUUUGCUCAUUUUUGGCUACUUUCAACCUUUAGGAACCAGGGGGAAAAGGAGGAGGAAGAAUGGUUGAACCUAAAACUAGUUGUGAAUUUAUUCCAAGGAAAACAAAGCAAUAUUGGAAAGACUUUUGGAAAGAUGUGAUGAAGGAUCAUUUGCUUCAAGAAAUCAAUGGACAUUCAUUAAAAAAAAUAAUGGAAAUGAUUGUUAAUUAUAACAAAAACAAUCUAUCUGAAUCGCUAAAUAGUAAUAACCAUCAUGGUGUAUGAUUAUCGCUUUUUAUAGUAUCAACUUGUUUUCAUUUCCAAGUGUUAAUGUUUGCCCAUUCUAUAAUGGUGUUAACAUAUUGGUGAAAUUGAUUGAUACAGAAAUAACAGUUUCAACAAAUCAAAUCACAUUGAAUUUGUGAUUUGAUUGAACACAAACACCAACACAUACACAAUAAUAUGAUUCAGUAUUGAUUAUUUCAAUUCCUGGUGAUUACUUACUUUCCUAACUCCUCUUUAAGUUCAUAAUUAUCGGAGAAACGUGUUGUUAUUACUGGAGUUGCCAUUUAAUUGUGAUAAUUUUGUUUAGUCGUGUUUAAUAUUUUGUAAUUUAACAAUUGUAAUUAAUAAUCUCUGGUUUUGCUUUGAAAUUUUUGUUGAAUGUAUGAACACACAAUGAUGCAGAAUGAGAAUCUUGUUGGUAAAAAUGUAAUUUUUUGAUUAAACAAAGGUUGAUGAUUA